rnacentral:ncRNA from 14 species
UAGUUUUGGCGCCGCGUUGGUUUCUCCGAAGCACCGAGGAAUGCUUCCGGGGAUCGCAAGAGGGAAUCCGGUGUGAAUCCGGAGCUGCCCCGCAGCGGUGAGUGGAAACGACGGCGGCACGUAUUGCACUGGGCCCAGGCCCGGGAAGCAGCCGCUGGUAGGUGAGGCGUGCGACGCCUCGUGUCCACGAGUCCGAAGACCUGCCACCGCGGCCGCACCACCA